rnacentral:rRNA from 1 species
CGACGUGGAUAACCUGCCAUAUACAGGGGGAUAGCACUUAGAAAUAGGUGCUAAUACCGCAUAAGCGCACAGCUUCGCAUGAAGGAGUGUGAAAAACUAAGGUGGUAUAUGAUGGAUCCGCGUCUGAUUAGCCAGUUGGUGAGGUAACGGCUCACCAAAGCGACGAUCAGUAGCCGGCCUGAGAGGGCGGACGGCCACAUUGGGACUGAGACACGGCCCAGACUCCUACGGAAGGCAGCAG